CUACGGGGCGCAGCAGUCAAGAAUCUUCCGCAAUGCACGAAAGUGUGACGGAGCGAUGCCGCGUGUCAGAAGAAGGCCUUCGGGUCGUAAAUGACUGUUCUGAGGGAAAAACUAGUGAUUGUACCUCAGCAGAGAGGGGUUGCUAACUCUGUGCCAGCAGGAGCAGUAAUACAGAGACCCCGAGCGUUGACCGGAUUUAUUGGGCGUAAAGCGUGCGAAGGUGGUUUUGUAAGUCAUUUGUUAAAUCUUCAGGCUCAACCUGGAGGCUGCAGGUGAUACUGCAAGACUAGAGGACGGGAGAGGCUAGCGGAAUGCCCAGUGUAGGGGUCAAAUCCGUUAAGAUUGGGUAGAACACCAAAUGCGAAAGCAGCUAGCUAGAACGCUCCUGACACUGUUGCACGAAAGCGUGGGUAGCGAAUGGGAUUAGAUACCCGCGUAGUC
rnacentral:rRNA from 1 species